ACUGCCGGUGAUAAACCGGAGGAAGGCGGGGAUGACGUCAAGUCCUCAUGGCCCUUACCAUCCCGGGCUACACACGUGCUACAAUGACAGGUACAGAGGGCUGCGAAGCCGCGAGGUGGAGCGAAUCCCAGAAAACCUAGUCUCAGUCCGGAUUGAAGUCUGCAACUCGACUUCAUGAAGGCGGAAUCGCUAGUAACCGCGAAUCAGCAGGUCGCGGUGAAUACGUUCCCGGGCCUU
rnacentral:rRNA from 1 species